rnacentral:misc_RNA from 1 species
AAGAUCAUAUCAUGGAGAUCCCAGCAAAGCAAAGAAUGGAGCGGCAGGAAACUUUGGCCCGAAAGCAUACUGAGGAGUACAAGGCUGCAUGUCACGAGACAGGAGUUCUAGCUCCGUAUGGCGCCUAGGUCUUCCUUAGCCAGGGCCCCUAGGCUAGCCUUUACCCCUAUCUGACAAGCUCGUAUAAGCCCAAAUAUUAAGCAUCUUUGAGGUUUCUCGCACGUAUCUAACCGUUACAUUUUCUCCCACCCAAUCCCGCAAACGCCCUCGUUUGCUUGCAUUCACGUCGCUUCCCCGCACAACUUGUCACACUCCCUCGCACAUAAGAGCCCACACACCAUUUGUCGGGCUCGCCCAACGCAAACACUUAAGCAACAUGUUGGCCACCAAUUUGCCAAAAUACUCGCCCACUUCCGCAUGUAGACAUCCUCCAAAAUGCCUUGCCAAGAUUCAUCAUAUUACUCGCCAGACACAUACAAGCUGCAUGACAGGCCGCACUUGUCUCUCGGAUCGACCCCUUUCUUGUCUGAUGUGGGAUUGAGAAACUCUUGUCUACCUCUGUCCCAUUGAGGCCUAUGGGGGCUGAUUCCCCCACCCUGCCACCCACCACACCAAUUAAAACACAACUCUACACCUGUCUCGCCUCAAAUUGUCAUCAAUAUCAGUAGCAGAGAUUGAGUGACUGCAAAAAUCAUGAUCCUCAGCUACAAAAUAUGACUUUCAAGGGUGAAUAAUCCAACUAUCUGGGAAAAUAAUGAGGCAAUCUCACUUGGGAAGAGAAGAUAACAAAUUUAGGAACAAAUAUCCAAGGAUGACCACAUGAGAAAGAAAAACCUGUAGGAAAUAAGUACCCAGAUGAAAUUUAUUGAUGAAAACUAUUGGCACAGAGCCUUUCAUGUGAAACUGGAGAACCUUGAAAUGAUCUAUGGUAUGGUACUGGUUGGUGUGAGAAGAAAAGUUUAGAAAUUAAGAUGUAUAGUGUUGCACUUUGGGAAAGAACUUAGUAGCAAGAUAACUUGAAUAUAUAGUGGCAUUUGUGUAAAUGUUGAAAAUAUUUGGGAAACUCAUUUUGCUACAUGAAUAAUCAUGUUAAAACAUUUAUAAUAUUCUCAUAUUUGCCCCAGUUUCCAUAACAACAGUGCUUGUGGCAGCAGCAUAAAAUUUACACUAUGUUUGGGAACUUUGCUAGAGAGGAAAGAAAAUAAAGGAGGGAAAAUAAGGAAGGAAAAUAAAAAUAAUGUAAAAGUUAUUUUCCUUUCCUUGUUUGGAUUUUAGGGAGGAAAAUAAGGAGGGAAAAUAGCUUUUUAAAUAGUAAAAUAUCCACUUUGUCCUUUUUAUUUGAAAUUAAAAUAAAUAAUUAUAGGGAUAAAAAAGUAAUUUUAUGAUUUUUCCACCCACUUUCUCUCCAAAAUGGAGAGAAAAUGAAUAGUAAAUGCAUUUGUUAUUUUCCACCUUUAUUUUCCACUCUUUUCAAUUUUCCCUCAUUCCCAAACAAGAGAAGAGAGAAAAUAUGUUUAUUUUCCUUCAUAAUUUUCCUUCCUCCCUUAUUUUCCUCCAAUCCAAACAUAGCCUUAGAUUCUUAAAAAUUAUUUUGGAUAUUGAACUGUGGGAAAAGUUUUGAAAUCCGUAGGAAUUUAUGGUUUGAAAGGAAUAGGGAUUUAGUGUUGUUUAAAGGUGAAAAUGAGAGAUUCUGGGGCCUAGUUGGGAUGUAUCGUAGCUUAAAGUGCGAAUGAGAAAUUCUGAGAAGUGAGACCUGGUUGGGAUAUGCUGUGGCUUAAAAGUGCAAAUGAGAAAUUCUGAAGCCUACUUGCUGUUUGAAGAAAUACUGAUGACACACUAUUAGAAUCUCAAAACUGAUGUUUUAAUCCUUGCAAGUUAUGAUGACCAACUGUAAAUAUUUGCAGUAAAUAAUACUUGCCUACUGUUGGAUUCUCCUUGACCUGUUAGAAUUUGUAUUACAAUUUAAAAACUAGCUAACGACAACUGUAGACUCAAAUUAACAUAUGAAAAAUACUUGACAGCAUAAAAAAUGAAAGUAAUAACUAGAGACAAAAGUGUUUGUUACCAUUGAUGCUUUCUCUUGGCCAGAAUUCCUUUGCUUCUCUCUUUUAUUUAACCAAGCAAUGGAUGUGCUACCAAGCUACCCUGAUUGAGCUUCAAUCCCAUUCUAAUGAAUCUAAUCUCCAAAGAGCCUUGACAGAUUUUGAAGGUCCUUACACAAAGUUUUGAAGUUCCUUUUUUGGAAUAUGAGAACUAAAGAUUUUUGGUUGAGCUAGUUUUCUGUCCUUGAUUAUAUUCCAGUCAUUUGGUAAUCAUUAGUCAAACAGUUGAUUAUGGUAAAUUUUAUUAUAUUGACUGUUAAGAUGAUGUGUUACUCUCUUGGGUGUAUGCGCUUGCAUCUUUGCAUGUGUGCUGUUUGAUGGUUUGAAAUCUUUUUUUCUUUUUUUAGAAUGACUUCAAUUUUGAGAAGA